UAGUCAUAUGCUUGUCUCAAAGACUAAGCCAUGCACGUCUAAGUAUAAGUAUUAUACAGCGAAACUGCGAAUGGCUCAUUAAAACAGUUAUAGUUUAUUUGAUAAUCAAAUUUACAUGGAUAACCGUGGUAAUUCUAGAGCUAAUACAUGCUGUUAAGCCUGACUUUUUGGAAGGGCCGUAUUUAUUAGAUAACAAACCAAUAUUCCUUGUGUCUAUUGUGACGACUCAUAAUAACUGAUCGAAUCGUUGGCCUCGCUAGCGAUAAAUCAUUCAAGUUUCUGCCCCAUCAGCUCUCGAUGGUAGUGUAUUGGACUACCAUGGCUUUCACGGGUAACGGAGGACUAGGGUUCGAUUCCGGAGAGGGAGCCUGAGAAACGGCUACCACUUCUACGGAAGGCAGCAGGCGCGUAAAUUACCCAAUCCCGAUUCGGGGAGGUAGUGACAAGAAAUAACGGACCGAAGCGCUUUUGUGUUUCGGGGUUGCAAUGAGUACAAUUUAAACCCCUUAAUGAGGAUCCAUU
rnacentral:rRNA from 1 species